rnacentral:tRNA from 1 species
GCUCUUCUAGUAUAUUAAUUACAAUUGACUUCCACUCAUUAAAAUCUGGAGAAACCCCAGAGAAGAGCA